GGGGAUUUAGCUCAGAGGUAGAGCACUUGCCUAGCAAGCGCAAGGCCCUGGGUUCGGUCCCCAGCUCCG
rfam:Rattus norvegicus chromosome 2, whole genome shotgun sequence.